UGACUCAAACAAAUGAUCGCGGCUGCAAAGCCGAAAGGCUGCAGGUGAGGAAAGUCCGGGCUUCACAGGGCAGGGUGCCGGAUAACGUCCGGUGGAGGCGACUCCCAGGCUAGUGCAACAGAAAUAUACCGCCGCAUAAUGCGGUAAGGGUGGAAAGGCGAGGUAAGAGCUCACCGCUGUGCUGGUAACAGGACAGGCUCUGUAAACCCCACUCGAAGCAAGACCGAACAGAGAGCAAUGUGGCUGCCCGUCACGUUCUCGGGUAGGUCGCUUGAACCUGUUGGCAACAACAGGUCUAGAUAGAUGAUCAUUCACGACAUAACCCGGCUUAUCGUUUGAGUCCCCUU
rnacentral:RNase_P_RNA from 1 species